rnacentral:rRNA from 1 species
AGAGUUUGAUCAUGGCUCAGAUUGAACGCUGGCGGCAGGCCUAACACAUGCAAGUCGAACGGUAACAGGAAGCAGCUUGCUGCUUUGCUGACGAGUGGCGGACGGGUGAGUAAUGUCUGGGAAACUGCCUGAUGGAGGGGGAUAACUACUGGAAACGGUGGCUAAUACCGCAUAACGUCGCAAGACCAAAGAGGGGGACCUUCGGGCCUCUUGCCAUCAGAUGUGCCCAGAUGGGAUUAGCUAGUUGGUGAGGUAACGGCUCACCAAGGCGACGAUCCCUAGCUGGUCUGAGAGGAUGACCAGCCACACUGGAACUGAGACACGGUCCAGACUCCUACGGGAGGCAGCAGUGGGGAAUAUUGCACAAUGGGCGCAAGCCUGAUGCAGCCAUGCCGCGUGUAUGAAGAAGGCCUUCGGGUUGUAAAGUACUUUCAGCGGGGAGGAAGGUGUUGUGGUUAAUAACCGCAGCAAUUGACGUUACCCGCAGAAGAAGCACCGGCUAACUCCGUGCCAGCAGCCGCGGUAAUACGGAGGGUGCAAGCGUUAAUCGGAAUUACUGGGCGUAAAGCGCACGCAGGCGGUCUGUCAAGUCGGAUGUGAAAUCCCCGGGCUCAACCUGGGAACUGCAUUCGAAACUGGCAGGCUUGAGUCUUGUAGAGGGGGGUAGAAUUCCAGGUGUAGCGGUGAAAUGCGUAGAGAUCUGGAGGAAUACCGGUGGCGAAGGCGGCCCCCUGGACAAAGACUGACGCUCAGGUGCGAAAGCGUGGGGAGCAAACAGGAUUAGAUACCCUGGUAGUCCACGCCGUAAACGAUGUCUACUUGGAGGUUGUGCCCUUGAGGCGUGGCUUCCGGAGCUAACGCGUUAAGUAGACCGCCUGGGGAGUACGGCCGCAAGGUUAAAACUCAAAUGAAUUGACGGGGGCCCGCACAAGCGGUGGAGCAUGUGGUUUAAUUCGAUGCAACGCGAAGAACCUUACCUGGUCUUGACAUCCACAGAACUUUCCAGAGAUGGAUUGGUGCCUUCGGGAACUGUGAGACAGGUGCUGCAUGGCUGUCGUCAGCUCGUGUUGUGAAAUGUUGGGUUAAGUCCCGCAACGAGCGCAACCCUUAUCCUUUGUUGCCAGCGGUUAGGCCGGGAACUCAAAGGAGACUGCCAGUGAUAAACUGGAGGAAGGUGGGGAUGACGUCAAGUCAUCAUGGCCCUUACGACCAGGGCUACACACGUGCUACAAUGGCGCAUACAAAGAGAAGCGACCUCGCGAGAGCAAGCGGACCUCAUAAAGUGCGUCGUAGUCCGGAUUGGAGUCUGCAACUCGACUCCAUGAAGUCGGAAUCGCUAGUAAUCGUGGAUCAGAAUGCCACGGUGAAUACGUUCCCGGGCCUUGUACACACCGCCCGUCACACCAUGGGAGUGGGUUGCAAAAGAAGUAGGUAGCUUAACCUUCGGGAGGGCGCUUACCACUUUGUGAUUCAUGACUGGGGUGAAGUCGUAACAAGGUAACCGUAGGGGAACCUGCGGUUGGAUCACCUCCUU